CCUCAUCCUAUCCUUAUCCACGUCCUCAUCCUAUCCUCAUCCACGUCCUCAUCCUAUCCUCAUCCUCAUCAUUUCCUCCUCCUCAUGCUCAUCCUAAUUCUCAUCCUAACCCUCAUCCUGAUCCUCAUCCUUAUCCUAAUCUUCAUCCUCAUCCUAAUACUAAUCAUCAUCCUCAUCCCCAUCCUCAUCCUCAUCUUCAUCAUAUCCCCAUCCUCAUCCUUGUCCUAAUCCUCAUUCUAAUCCUCAACCUCAUCCUAAUCAUCAUCCUCAACCUAUCAUCAUCCUCAUCCUCAUCCUUAUCCUAGUCCUAAUCCUCAUCCUCAUCCUCAUCCUAUCCUCAUCGUCAAUCUAGUCCCAAUCCUCAUCCUCAUCCUAUCAUCACCCUCAUCCUCAUCCUCAUCCUCAUCCUAAUCUUCAUCCUCAUCCUCAUCCUAAUCCUCAUCCUCAUCCUCAUCCUA
rnacentral:lncRNA from 1 species